rnacentral:tRNA from 1 species
UGUCCGGAUUGGCCAUGGCGUCGGGGCUGGCCACCUUGGCGGGGUCGGCGCCCAGCAGCAGCUUGCGGAUCGGCAGUUCCAUCUUUUUUCCGGUCAGC